rnacentral:SRP_RNA from 1 species
GCCGGGUGCAGUGGUGCGUGCCUGUAGUCCCAGCUACUUGGGAGGCUGAGGCUGGAGGAUCGCUCGAGUCCAGGAGUUGUGGGCUGUAGUGCGCUGUGCUGAUCGGGUGCCUGCACUAAGUUUGGCAUCAAUAUGGUGACCUCCCGGGAGCAGGGGAUCACCAGGUUGCCUAAGGAGGGAUGAACUGGCCCAGGUCGGAAAUGGAGCAGGUCAAAACUCCUGUGCUGAUUAGUAGUGGGAUUGCUCCUGUGAGUAGCCACUGCACUCCAGCCUGGGCAACAUAGCGAGACACCGUCUCU